CAGUAGCCGCGGUAAUACGAAGGGGGCUAGCGUUGUUCGGAUUAACUGGGCGUAAAGGGCGCGUAGGCGGAUCUUUAAGUCAGGGGUGAAAUCCCGAGGCUCAACCUCGGAGCUGCCUUUGAUACUGGAGAUCUUGAGUCCGGGAGAGGUAAGUGGAACUGCGAGUGUAGAGGUGAAAUUCGUAGAUAUUCGCAAGAACACCAGUGGCGAAGGCGGCUCACUGGCCCGGUACUGACGCUGAGGCGCGAAAGCGUGGGGAGCAAACAGGAUUAGAUACCCCUGUAGUCCCUGUCUCUUAUAC
rnacentral:rRNA from 1 species